UUUUUCAAAUGUAAACAACUUCAUUUACAACAUAUCACGUUUGUAAUGUUUGUGAUAUGUUGUAAAUGAAGUUGUUUACAUUUGAAAA
rnacentral:miRNA from 1 species